GAUGAACGCUGGCGGCGUGCCUAACACAUGCAAGUCGAACGGAGUCCAGCCUUUAAGACCUUCGGGUCAAAGAGGGGAAGACUGAGUGGCGGACGGGUGAGUAACACGUGGGCAACCUGGCUCAUAGAGGGGGAUAACAGAGAGAAAUUUCUGCUAAUACCGCAUAAGCACACACUGCCGCAUGGCAGAGGGUGAAAAGAGAAUCGCUAUGAGAUGGACCCGCGUCUGAUUAGCCAGUUGGCAGGGUAAGAGCCUACCAAAGCGACGAUCAGUAGCCGAUCUGAGAGGAUGAACGGCCACAUUGGGACUGAGACACGGCCCAAACUCCUACGGGAGGCAGCGGUGGGGGAUAUUGCACAAUGGGGGGAACCCUGAUGCAGCGACGCCGCGUGAGUGAAGAAGUAUUUCGGUAUGUAAAGCUCUAUCAGCAGGGAAGAUAAUGACAGUACCUGAAUAAGAAGCCCCGGCUAACUACGUG
rnacentral:rRNA from 1 species